rnacentral:rRNA from 1 species
AUUGAACGCUGGCGGCAGGCCUAACACAUGCAAGUCGAGCGGCAGCGGGAAGUAGCUUGCUACUUUGCCGGCGAGCGGCGGACGGGUGAGUAAUGUCUGGGAAACUGCCUGAUGGAGGGGGAUAACUACUGGAAACGGUAGCUAAUACCGCGUGAUGUCGCAAGACCAAAGAGGGGGACCUUCGGGCCUCUCGCCAUCAGAUGUGCCCAGAUGGGAUUAGCUAGUAGGUGGGGUAAAGACUCACCUAGGCGACGAUCCCUAGCUGGUCUGAGAGGAUGACCAGCCACACUGGGACUGAGACACGGCUCAGACUCCUACGGGAGGCAGCAGUCGGGAAUAUUGCGUAAUGGAGGGAACUCUGACGCAGUGAUGCCGCGUAUGGGAAGAAGGUUUUCGGAUUGUAAACCAUUUUAGACAGGGAAGAAGGAAGUGACAGUACCUGUAGAAUAAGCUCCGGCUAACUACGUGCCAGCCGCCGCGGUAAGAC